GCCCCCGUAGUUCAAUGGAUAGAACGAGCCUCUCCUAAAGGCUAGAUGCAGGUUCGAUUCCUGCCGGGGGCA
rnacentral:tRNA from 1 species